rnacentral:rRNA from 1 species
GAUGAACGCUGGCGGCGUGCCUAAUACAUGCAAGUCGAGCGAACAGACGAGGAGCUUGCUCCUCUGACGUUAGCGGCGGACGGGUGAGUAACACGUGGAUAACCUACCUAUAAGACUGGGAUCACUUCGGGAAACCGGAGAUAAUACCGGAUAAUCUAUUGAACCGCAUGGUUCAAUAGUGAAAGACGGUUUUGCUGUCACUUAUAGAUGGAUCCGCGCCGCAUGAGCUAGUUGUUAAGGUCACGGCUUAUCAAGGCAACGAUGCGUAACCGACCUGAGAGGGUGAUCGGCCACACUGGAACUGAGACACGGUCCAGACUCCUACGAUAGGCAGCAGUAGGGAAUCUUCCGCAAUGGGCGAAAGCCUGACGGAGCAAGGCCGCGCGAGUGAUGAAGGUCUUCGGAGCGUAAAACUCUGUUAUUAGGGAAGAACAAAUGUGUAAGUAACUAUGCACGUCGUGACGGUACCUAAUCAGAAAGCCACGGCUAACUACGUG